rnacentral:rRNA from 1 species
GAGUUUGAUCGUGGCUCAGAUUGAACGCUGGCGGCAUAGCCUUACACAUGCAAGUCGAACGGCAGCACGGGAGCUUGCUCCUGGUGGCGAGUGGCGAACGGGUGAGUAAUGCCUAGGGAAUCUGCCUGGUAGUGGGGGACAACGUUUCGAAAGGAACGCUAAUACCGCAUACGUCCUACGGGAGAAAGCAGGGGACCUUCGGGCCUUGCGCUAUCAGAUGAGCCUAGGUCGGAUUAGCUAGUUGGUGGGGUAAUGGCUCACCAAGGCGACGAUCCGUAACUGGUCUGAGAGGAUGAUCAGUCACACUGGAACUGAGACACGGUCCAG